GUAUGCAACUGAGGGAUUCUAAGAUGCCCAAAGAUUUUAAUUGGUCAAUAUCUGUUUUUUUUAAAAAAAGACAACUUUGAAAUUUUAGAAUAGUUUGGUGACAGGGUCUGGACUGUUCUUGUGCACAAGUAAAUAAAGUGCGAUUGAGAAAUGAGUGCAAGUUAAUCGGCGACACCAGUUUCUUGGCGGUCCCACCGAGAUGGCUAACCUUUAGAUUCACUGUACGGGAAAAUGGAAUUGAGCCCUGGUGACCGAUCAGUCUCAAAUCCGCGGCAGCUCGUAUUUGAGCAGUGGGACUGAGUCUGUCGCUGGAAUACUAAUUUCUUCCCGUGUGGGGUAGUUGAAGUGCGCCAUCGUAUCGUCGCCGAAAGGGAUAGCAAUUGACUGAGCAAUUGCGAUGGGAGGUUCGAGUCCCCAACCAAGGUGGCUCGGGCUGGGUUCAAGUACCGUGAGUGAGCACCUGUGGGCUGGGUCCCACGAAAAAAAUACGGAAAAAGAGGAAUAAAGAGAAGGAUCGUUGUGGGUUUGGAAUCCCUGAGAAGAUAUCAAGUGACAAUGCUUUGCAGUGUAAACAUCACUUUCACUUGCCCGUACCACCCACAAUCGAAUGGGGCAGUGGAGCGACAGAAUGGAAUCCUGAAAAACAGACUGGCUCAAUUAUGCGAGGAAGUAGGACUGAAAUGGCCAGAGGCAAUUCCACUGGCCCUCAUGACAAUGCACUGUGCUUCAAACCAUGUACCUGGCCUAUUUCCACAUGAGAUAGUAUUGGGACGUCCCAUGCGCUUACCAGUCGCGCCUCCCCUUUCUGUCAAACAGGUGGACAUCCAUACCAUGAGUGAAAGCAUGUUGCAGUAUUGUAUAGCACUAACAUGGACCCUUAAAAGUUUCCAUCAACAGGUAAUUGAAGCCAGAAGGUCGUGACGACUAUAGAGUACCAUACCUACCAGCCGGGAGUUUGGGUACUUGUGAAAUCCUAUCGAUGGAAAAAUUGCCUUGGAACCCCAGUGGGAAGGUCCAUAUCAAGUGUUGCUGACCAUACACAUUGCCACAAAACUCUAAGGAAAACCGACUUGGGUCCACGCAUCGCAUACCAAACCUGCUGCGCCUCCGGACCAGGGAACCAGUGGCACGGAAGACCCCAAGGACAAGAAUGAACUAACUGAAUUAUUUGAUCAUUAUCAUUCGCGGUUUUAAGCAGUCAUUAUGUGUUUCAGGUUAUGGAUGUUCUGUAUGUCUGUCCUUAAGCGCAGAGCCACACUUUUUACCUCUUAGUUAUGAAUAUGCUCAGCAUUCCAAUCAGUCAAGUUACUGGGUAUGUUCUAGCGGACCCACACAUUCAGCGGGAGGCAUUCCCUUGGAUCCCAUCCCCUUUUCUGAAAUGGAAGCUUGGUGCCAUUCCAACAACGGGACUAGGAAAACAGCGGUACCGAACGGUCGGGGAGGGGACUGGGAAAGAAUCAGGAAGGCUCAAGACUGGUGGUAUUGGGAAGCAAGGGUGGUUCAUUGGACUGCAGUCUGAAGGAAAGAUGUAUACUAUCUCCCAGCGUGUAGGCACCGGCUUUGAUAGGUGGUAUUUGUCCUCACAUAACAGGAUCCUAGCACCACCCUCUCUAACCCUGAUGGGGUGAAGGAGAGGCGAAGGAUGCAUCUGCCAACGGGAAGGUACUAUCUGGGUGGGAAAUAGCGCGUGUAGAUUCAAUGACACACAAGCUACUACACCACCCCUGACCCUGAAUGGGACAUACUGGCUGUGCAGCCUCAAGAUGUACACAUGGUUGCCUGUAGAAUGGAAAGGCUGUUGCUGUUUGGCCCACAUAAUACCACAAAUGCACCACCUAUGAUCACUUUCUCUGCAUCCGGCUGUGCAGGGCCCCCAUCGAAGGGCCAUCACAGAGGCUGAACGCUUCUGGAUAAUAGCGGCCCCAUUCUGGGGACCUGCAAGGCUGGCUCACGAAAACAUCAGUAUGGCUUCUGCCAUGGGAAGAUUGGCCAAUGAGAUGGUCCUAGCAUUGCAGGACACCAGCCAGGCCAUUAAGGACAUUACAGCUGAGAUGGUAGCGAAUCGCACUGUGGCCCUCCAGAACCGGUUAGCGUUAGACCUACUGCUGGCCGAGGAAGGUGGUACUCGUGCUGAUAUUGGUUGGGAGUGUUGCACAUACAUCCCCAAUUCAUCUGAAAACAUCACUGAUUUGGCCGCACGCAUCCAGAAGGAGGCUGACAAGGUCAGAAAGACUGGACAGGAGUUACAUAGCACGCCUGCAUCACCUUGGGAGCCCUUUGGGGGGGGGCGGUUGGGGCAGCUUCAUCACACAAUGGAUACUCGGGGCCUUAUUUCUGCUGGUUGUGAUAUUCGCUUUUAAUCUCUUGCCUGAGAUCACUCUGUGGGGUGAUGGCACACAGAGCAGCCGCCUUCAUCGUGAUCCAACAGCCAACUGCCCCUGAUGAAGUUGUCACGGAGUUCCAGAAGCUCUGUGCUAUUGAAACUCAGUAAGGUUUGUGUUGUCCUUUACAGGACAAAAGGUGGGGGGUGGGGGGGGGGGGGGAAGUAUGGAAGCUGUGGCAAGGCAAGGGUUAAGAUAGUUUGUGCAGGCAAGAGGUGGUUUGCAGACAGUCUGCAGUCACCCAUGCUGAGCAAGGUCCUUGAGAGCACAGCUCCUCUGUACAGCAUAGGAGCCGAGGUCACCAGGGCUACCAAACCAAGGAUGCAAAUGAGGGAUUGCAAAGCACACACUAACUAUUGGGCAAUUACUCUAAAGUAUUAUUGGCCAUCAACAUAUAGUUUCUAUUGGUCAUUAACACUUACAUUAAUGGAAUGUGAUUGGUAUUUUAUGUAUGCAAAUGAGGGAUUCUAAGGUGCCCAAAGAUUUUAAUUGGUCAAUAUCUGUUUUAAAAAAGACAACUCUUUGUUGAAACUUUAGAAGAGUUUGGUGACAGGGGCUGGACUGUUCUCCUUGUGCACAAGUAAAUAAAGUGCGAUUGAGAAAUGA